ensembl:lincRNA uncharacterized LOC101687919
UAAAAACAAAAAACAAAAAACAAUGGUUUACUAAACAGCCCAGAAGGUUGUACCAGCUACUCUGCUAAGCCUGGGAUGUUCAGGAUAAGGAAUAUAUAUGGUCCUGCCUUCAGGCUUGGUUCACACUCUAGAGGCCUGUCAAGGCCUGUCUCUUUCUCUGUGCUCAGGCUUGUAGUAAAAAUGAUGUACCAAGAUGUACCAACAUCUUGAAAUAGAUGUACCAAGUCCAUUAGAGGGCAUAAGAAGAAUAGAAGACUAAAGUGUGCCAUUAUAUGGAAACUAGCUCUGAGGCCCUUUUAACCAAUUAAAGGGACAGAUAGAAAUAGACCACUUCAGUAUUUAUGGUGAGGCCCCGAGAUGGAAGUGUGCCCAGAUGUUCCAAUCCCUCAGAGCCUGCCAGAACUCUGGGAGGCUGCUGAGGUGAAGUGAUGUCUGAACUGAGUGCUGGAGGCCGUGAGAGAUCAUCAGGAGAUCAGAAGGGGGUUCCAGGCAAGGAACAGCAUAAACGGGCACACUGGAGUCAAGCUCUCUGUGUGGAUGGGGCACUACUAAUAGUUCAGUUUUGCUAAAAGUCUAGGUAGGAAAGGGCAGGAGACAGCAGACAAAGGCCAAGCCUCAGGAUGAGGGAGGAUCUACCCAAGGGGCCUAGACGGGAGCGUGUGGUGGUCAUAUUUUUGUGUUAGACAGAAGUAGAGAAAGGAGUUAGCCAAGUAUCAGGAUUAGGUAUGAGUGCACGUGACAGUGGCUUACAGCAACGCGGGUUGGUUUUCUCACAGAACAGACAGUCUGGGGGUAGGCAGUUACUCACUGACUGAGACACUCAUCUCUUAUCUGUCUUUUGUCCUCAUAGUUGUCACUACAGUCUGAAGAAGACGGUUGUCCAAGCUCAAACCAACACAUCCACAUGUAAGGCAGCAAGACUGGAGAAAGAUGCAACUAUCCCCAGGAAUCACCCAGACACAGAGUGACAUUUUAAAGGAGAAACCACUGGAUGCCAUAGUCUUUUUAAAAAUAAUAUUAGAGGAAGAGCUCAAAGGAAUGUCUGCCCAAGCACCAGUGUCUAUAGCCUCGUAUUCAAGAAGAAUCCAGCCACUUGAAGAAGCAGCGAGCCAGUACUGCUCACUUCAGCUCCUGUCCUCUUGGAUCUACUUUGUUGUGCUCAGCAUCAGAUUCGAAACUGGUGACCUCCUGUCAGUGGCACAGCUCUUCUUACCUGUUAUGUUGUUAAAUCUGUGCUAAAUUUGUGAUGUUGCUGCUCUUUCAUAUUCAUGCUUCAUCCGCCCAGAUCAAGAGUUUCUUGAGCUCAGGGGUCACACUUUAUACUCCAUUCAGUCUUGCCUAGUUGUGUUUGUCUUGGUAAACACAGGAAAUAGCUGUUGGAUGGAUGAAUAAGAGAAUGACAAAGGCUGGGAAACAGUAGAAGGCGAACUGCUCUGCUACCUGGUAAAGAGGAUUAUGAAACUCGGGUCAGAUUAGCAGGAAAGGUGGUGUUUCAUUUGUGUCCGCAGAUAGGGAUCUUAGCCCCAGGGUUGCCGGCUUGCUUUCACUCAUUCAACAAACAUUUCUCUAAGUUUCUCCAGAAGAGCCAGGCAAGCAUUGCGGUGGCAGGCCCCCAAUAAGACAAAGUGCCUGUGGGGGUGAGGGAGACCUGCGGCAUCACAGACUCAGGGAGAUACAAUGGGGUUGGCAAUAUGAUAAUGGCAUGCACAUGGCACAUGGAGAUUCUAAAUCAGAUUGUGGCUUCCAGAGAAGCUUCUGGAAAGAGAAGCAUUUUUAUUCAUGUGUUCAAGGAUGAAUGAGUGUUGGCUAGAGGAGACUGAUUAGGAAAAGCAUUACAGGGAGAAGAACUAGCAUGGGAAUGUGUUCUGUGCCAUAAAAUAGAAGGUUACAUUGAGAACUAAAGUCUCAGCUGAAAUGGUAGCUGUGCCUAGAGGUGAAGUCAGAGAACUAGGCUAGAAUAGCCUUGCAGAGGACCUUGUGGCAAUAUGAUUUAGUAUUUCAGAGUGGAGGUUUAGAAAUCAGACAGAACUGAGUUCAAAUCCUUGCUCUGGUACUUACAAUCCAUGUAACUAACUGAUUUUUUUUUUUAAUUCCUCGAAGUCUUGGUUUCCUUAGCACAGUGUCUAGCUGUAUCACUUAUCUAUUGUUACAUAAGAAAUUAUCCCAAAUCAUAACAGCUUAAAAUAGUACACAUUUAUUAAGUUCUCACAGGUCCAGAAUCUGGUCUUCAGCUUCAGGGUCUCCCACGAGGCUGUAAUGAAGUAUCAGCCAGAGAUGAGGUAUUAUCUCAAGACGUGAGAAGGAUCCAUUUCCAAGCUCACUUACAUGAUUGUUGAGGGAAUUCAACAAUGGAUGGCCAUUGGCCAGAGGCUGCCCUCAGUUCCUUGACAUGUGGGCCUCCCCAGCAUAUCAGCUUGCAUCAUCAGUCAGUGACAGAGGGCCUGUGACCAAGACAGAUGUAGCCUAAUCAGCUAAGUGACUUCUUGUCACCAUUGCCACAUUCUGUAGAGUAAAAGUCAUUGGGCCAUCCCACACUCCAGGGAAGGGGAUUAUACAAGGGAAUGAACACCAUAAAAUGGGGAUCUUUGGGUGUCAUUUUAAGCCAGUAGCCUAUAGCUGGUAGCCUAUGUUAGUAGCUGAUAGCUUAUAUUACCACCAAAUAAAUGUCAGCUUUUUAAAAUUAAACUCAGUUGAUAGUUUUGGAAAACCUAGUGAAAGCUGGUGAAGGAUUUUAUAACAAAGAGUAACUUUAGGUGACCUUGGCUAGGUCAAAUCAUUUCACAUCAUGUCUUCGAGCCUUCCUUUCCUCCUAAGUAUGGUGAAAAUAUCUAUCUCUCAUAGAAAUGAGAACAUAUAUGUGCAAGCAGAAAUACACUUUGGUAAAAACAAGCAUACAACUCUUCACAGUGGGAGGAAGCUUACUGCCUUGGGCCAGCUUUCCACUUUGCACUGAUACUAGGACUCUCACAGUUUGAUAUCUUCAGAGUUUUCAGGGCUUGACCUGUGGGCCCAGAAGGAUUUGUAUAACUGGAAUAAACACCCACAAAAAGAAAUUUGUCUUUUGAACAUCGCUUAAGGCAUUUCCAAGAGUUUGCUUUUUUCCAUCUUUUUAAAUACCUUUGCUUCCAAGGACCCCAUGGGGGCUAGAGAGAGAAAACAGACUAUCUGGGAAAUUUCAAGCUCUUGAUAAUAAAAGUGGUAAUAAAAUCUCGUCUGGCUCCUGAUGCUUCACAGAGUGGUUGUUUGUGGUGGAUGGGGUUCCCCCACAUCUAGCAGUUGGUUUCCAGUCCCAGGGAGCGGCUCGAGUUACCACCCCCUUGCCCACUGCAAGGGCAGCUCCCUGCCUGCAAGGUACCCCCACCCUGGCGCCUCACCCAUUUCCGCUGCCCAAAUGGGAUACUUCAUUCCCUGCUCCACAUGGAGCCCGUCACACACACAGGAGUGU